rnacentral:lncRNA from 1 species
CAUCUACACAGCCUCCCAUCAUUCAUUUUGGGGGAGGGAACAGUGCUUAAAUGUAUUUAGAAAGGCAUUUAUUUAUAAUGGAAGAUGUCUUGAUUAAACCCUGUGGUUCUUUCCAUCACUUUCACAGGUGGUGAGAAAAAAUGUGCUGGCUUCAGACAUCUCCUUCAGACAGGCACCAUGAAGGAGAUGGCUGCCAUCCAACAGCAUUGCCUAGGCAGCUCCACCUGUGUCACCCCCUAAACACAUCCAGACAAAUGCCAUUUGUCUUGGCUGCAUUUGAAACAUCCCAGUCACAGACACAUUUACACAUCAGCCACUUUCCACUGAAGCAUGUACACACCCCAGCUUGAAUCCACAGAUGUUCACACAGCUGCUGUCAACAGGCUUCUAAAGGUGAAUUUCAACCAGCUUAGAUCCACAAAUAUCAGACUGCUUCAGCCUUGCAACACCCACUACCACCCAAAAAUACAAACUCCACCGGCCAGCAUCUGCUAGCUUCCACAAGGUCCAUCACCUGCCACCAGCCACCUUCCAACCAUGGAUAUCGGCUGCCUUCAAGCUGCUAUCCCACUUGGCAAGUGAACUUGCCUUCUCAUUGCUCCACAGCAUCCCACUGCCAGAUGAUGGCCUCAUUCCAUCAUAACCUCCUUAGCAUUCACAAUGGUGGGUACAGCUCACCAGUAAUUUCGUCUUUUGCUUGUUUAUUAUUCUCUUUACCUUCUGGAAUAUCUGCAUCUCUUUUACACACUGAAGCUGGAUGGACAAUGAUAAAGGCAAGAGUGGAUUGAGCCCAGUUAAAUGAUUUGAAAAGACUCACAGCUUUAUUCACUGAGCAUCUUCUGACUGUGUGCCAUAUGUAUCUGAGGAACAGCCUUCUGUGGGAAUCAAAUUAUACAGGUUUUCUUAUAUGUUGUCUGGUCCCUUAUACGUAGAUUCAAGGAG